AUUUCGCGUAGUGUGUAGAUCUGUGUGAAUAUGUGCGUCGUGUGCGUUCAGAUCCCCGAGCUGUCAUUUAACAGCUGAUGUUUACAUAUUUUUGCUUUCUUUAGUCAGGUUUGACGCCUGCCUUGCCAACAUUCCGCUCUACCAGAAAACUAUGUAUGGAUUCAUCAUUUCACCGGUUGAUGUGCAUGAAAUUGUUACUGACAAAGUCGGGUAGAACGUGAAGGUUCAGCUAGUGAUGAGAACGGAGCUUGUGUUGAUUCACGAUGAUGGAGAUUGCUUGCGGAAGGGUUAUAUAAACGAUGAAUCAGAGAGUGUCAAAUCGUGAAUGCACUAAAUUUUAUGUAUUGCAAAUCGCUGGUCGAACGUUCCAUUCUGGGGAUAAUUAAAGUUUAUGAGAGUCACAGAUCAGUGAGACUGCGGCACACUGAAAGAGCGUUGAUAUUUCUGUUGGAGAUCAAUUCGAUUUGGAAGCCUUUGUAGGAUCAGUUGUAUUUACUGCCGAACGGUGCCUUUUCCUGUGAUUACACUUUCAGCCAACGGCAGUGGCAUUGCUAAAAUUGGUAUCUUUGCGUAACCGUAAAAUCAGCACAACAAACUGAAAGCGUAAGAAUGCUGUUGUAACUGAAAUUGACUGUUAUUUUAUCGCCCUCGAAACUAAUUUUCAUCGACAUAUACCAGCUACUAACGACCAGCGCGCAAGACUUCCAUUCUGAAUCGAACAUUGUGUUUACUAUUCUUGAGUAACUUGGAACAGGAGCUAUACAUUCGAAGCACGACGAGACACCCAUUAUAUCCGGUCAAAUUCUGAGCUAAAUGCUGUAAACUUGUCAUUCUUCCAAUUCCUACACACCGACCGGACUACUGGAUUCUUGUAACCAGCGACGCGGAUAUUGUUUUGUCUCAUCUGUUUUAAACAACACUCAAGUUAGUACGCUUCCAAGCAUAUCCAUGUUAUGGUUCGGUAUGGCCGAACGGUUAUCGAAGGGAGUUAAUUGAGGCUGUAUAAUCUGUAUAACGUGUUUAACGUUAGCAUUUUCGUUCAGAAUCUAACCAGCCUUGAUGAAUUAUAUAUUAUAGCUAGUGGGGAUACCACAAUUACUUUUCUUCCUGCUUCUGAUAUUACAAUGCAGCAAAAUGUGAAUUGAGAAUUAAUGCGUUCAGAAAAUCUCGGUCGACUGACUGGUCACAAAAGAGUUGGGAAGAAGAUGCUGAUUUCGAUGACAGCUACGAAGCAUAUUCCAAUCAACUCGGAAUAGAAUACUUAGAGACAAGGAAGGUCGAUUUGGGUGUUAUUCCGGAAGCGG